AAGCAGUCCAAGGGAUUAUAAAUCUGGUAUUCUAUGGAGAAUGUCUACAUAACUGUAGAUUGCAUCCCUGUUGUUCUGCUCAUUCACAUUUAUUUCUCAAAAAUACCUCUGCUUUUCAGAAAGAACAGUGUAUACAGGGGGUAAUCCUCCAUCAAAUGGAAACAAGCAUUCUAUGGGCUGCUCACAUAUGGAAAGAGAAAAAUAGAGAUGGUGAUGUUUCAGAGUCUAGCGUUUCCGUUACAAAGACUCAGAAUAACUACAAAGUGAGGCUGAAUGUGAGAUGGAGCUCCUUUCAAGUAGGUUGCCUGUUGAGGCUAUGCUGCUGAGAUCCCUUACAUCCUAAUGUCAGGAGAUUCAUUAGUCCUUGACUAAUCAAAAAGGAUCUUCACAUGUAUAUUUAAUGAAGAAAUAAGACCUUCUUUAGAACAAAGCAGAUAUUUCAUCCCCUUUUUCUGAAUGAGGGCAAAUACAGUCAACUUCACUUCCGCUUUCUGUCCACUCUGUCCCUCUGACAGUGUAUGAUGCUGGAAUGCCU
rnacentral:lncRNA from 1 species